AAGAUAACGGAAUUUUCUAAUAAUGGUAUUGAUAAAAAGCUUUAUGUUCUAUAAUGAGAAGGAAAGGAAAAAAAAGUAAUAGAGUUAAUUAGUGCGGGUUCUUUUUGUAUCAUGAUCUAUAAAGAUAGUAAAAAAAUUUUUUCUCCCGAAAAUUUUAGAGCUACUGCUUUUCAUUCACUUGUGUCAGAAAGUGUUUUAUAGGAAGUAGUAGAAAUUAUAUGUUUUUCGAAAAAGUUGAUAGCUGGUUGAGGGGAAAAUAUAUUAAAGUAUAGUGAUAGGUUGAAAGUACAAUUUAGCCUGAAGUGGGUUGUAGGUUUUCUGUGCUGUCUUAUUAUUCAGGCUUUCUGGGACUAGCCUGAGAGCAUAUUUAAGUUACAUAUAAGUAAGUAGAGUUUAAAUUGCUUAUCUUAUAAAAAGUUAUUAAUAAAGAAAAUAUAAUAAAAAAUGAGUUUAGUACCCCUUAGGCUUUAUUAAUGAAAUAAAGCUUAUAAGUAUAGAAUUAGUAGCUGGUGUUUAAGAAAGGUUUACUACAAAAAGUUACCUAAUGUUUUAAUAUAAGAUACUAAAAUAUUUUUUAAAGGAACUCGACAAAUAGGUUCUAUGCCUGUUUAACAAAAACAUGGCUUUUUGCUUUUAUAAUAUAAAAAGUCGGGCCUGCCCGGUGAAAUAGUUAAACGGCUGUAACGAGAGUUAUGCUAAGGUAGCGCGAUAAUUUGUCUCUUAAUUGGAGAAUGGUAUGAAAGGUUUGUCAUAGAGCGGUUGUCUCUAAAAAAUUAAGUGAAAUUUCUUUUUAAAUGAAAAGGUUUAAAUAAAAAUAAAAGACGAGAAGACCCUGUCGAGCUAGAUUAAGAAGAAAGCUAGUCUUGGCUAGCUUGUUUUGUAAGAGUAGUUGGGGAAGGUUGGACUUUAAAUAAUAAGUUCAUAUUAAACAUAGAUCCUUUUUGAAAGAAAGUUGGCAAAAGCUACCGGAGGGAUAACAGCGUGAUUUUUCUUAAGAGAUCGUAUUGAGGGAAAAGUUUGCGACCUCGAUGUUGGAUUAGGAAAACUUCUUGGUGCAGCAGCUAAGAGUUGUAAGACUGUUCGUCUUUUAAAUUCCUACAUGAUCUGAGUUCAGACCGGCGUAAGCUAGGUUGGUUUCUAUCUUUAUUUAUUAUUCCCAUUGUACGAAAGGAUCCGGGUGUAGAAUAAUAUUUUGUUAGCAAUUUAA
rnacentral:rRNA from 1 species